CCUACGGGUGGCAGCAGUGGGGAAUAUUGGGCAAUGGGCGCAAGCCUGACCCAGCGACGCCGCGUGAGGGAAGACGGUCUUCGGAUUGUAAACCUCUUUCAGCAGGGAAGACAAAAGGACGGUACCUGCAGAAGAAGCCACGGCUAACUACGUGCCAGCAGCCGCGGUAAUACGUAGGUGGCAAGCGUUAUCCGGAAUUACUGGGUGUAAAGGGUGUGUAGGCGGGUUUGCAAGUCAGAUGUGAAAAUUAUGGGCUCAACCCAUAACCUGCGUCUGAAACUACAGAUCUUGAGAGUGGGAGAGGUAAACGGAAUUCCCGGUGUAGCGGUGAAAUGCAUAGAUAUCACGCAGAACUCCGAUUGCGAAGGCAGCAUACCGGCGCCCAACUGACGCUGAAGCACGAAAGCGUGGGUAUCGAACAGGAUUAGAUACCCCGGUAGUC
rnacentral:rRNA from 1 species